UACGUAGGGUGCGAGCGUUGUCCGGAAUUAUUGGGCGUAAAGAGCUCGUAGGCGGUCUGUCGCGUCGAUCGUGAAAACUUGGGGCUUAACCCUGAGCUUGCGGUCGAUACGGGCAUGACUGGAGUUCGGCAGGGGAGACUGGAAUUCCUGGUGUAGCGGUGAAAUGCGCAGAUAUCAGGAGGAACACCGGUGGCGAAGGCGGAU
rnacentral:rRNA from 1 species